AUGGGGUUUAUUAUCAGGAAUCAUGGAGCAACGCUGAGAUUUGGGGGUGAAAAGGAGCUUUGAGCAGAAGGCAGGCAGAGGAGUGUAGGGAGAGACCAGCCCAUUGUAUAGAGAUGUUCCUCCUGUUGGGGUUUUGGGUAUUAUUUCUUUUUCUUUUUUAUUUUAAUUUUAUUUUCCCUUUUAUUUUCUUUUUGGUUUUUGUUUGUUUGGUUUUUUUUUUUAAUUCUACUUUAGAUCUGCAAGCUUGUGCACUGUGGGUGCGUGACUAUUUUAGUGUGAACCGUGUUUUUUGUCAUAGUAUUGAAAUAAUAAAAGCUUCAACAUAGUUUGGAUGUGGAAGGUGUAGCGCUAGUUCAGAUUUGAGAAACGAACAGACAAAAAAAAAUAAAUAUUCAGGAAUUAAAAUAAUUUAAAAAAGAGAAAGAGAACAACUCUUACAAAGAGCAGAAGCCUUUAAAUGAGAAGAGCAGCCCGAGGUGGCUGUGAAGGAUGAGGGGUGUGGGGCUGUGUCCGUGCAUUCCUUGGGAACGUGCAGGUGUUCCGUGGCAUCACUCCGUGUCCAGCUGUGAGAAACAAUGGCCUUGUCGUUUGCUGACUGUGGGGUUUCUUGCAUUUUGUUUUCCUCAGCUCCUGGGGUGCACGGGGAGGGCGGUGGGGCUGCAGGCUGAGGCUCCCCUGCCCGUCCUGGGGGGGUUUGGGGCAGGAUGGGGCUUUGUGCCCGAACCCGGCACUUUGAGCAGCGCCCCCGAGCUCUGGGCACCUCAGGCUCCUGGUCCCCUUUGUUUUCCCCGAGGAAAUGAAUCCAUCCAAGGCAGCUGUGGCUCUGUGUGUCCAUCCCCGGGUUGGUGGCACUGCUGUGGCCAUUCCUUGUGUCCAUCCCUGGGUUGGUGGCACUGCCCUGGCUCUGUGUGUCCAUCCCAGGUCGGUGACACUGCUGUGGCCAUUCCUUGUGUCCAUCCCUGGGUUGGUGACACUGCCCUGGCUCUGUGUGUCCAUCCCUGGGUUGGUGGCCCUGCUGUGGCCAUUCCUUGUGUCCAUCCCUGGGUUGGUGGCACUGCCCUGGCUCUGUGUGUCCAUCCCAGGUCAGUGGCCCUGCCGUGGCUCUGUGUGUCCAUCCCAGGUCGGUGGCCCUGCUGUGGCUGUUCCAGUUUUCUGUCCCAAGGGUUGGUAGCCCUGCCGUGGCCAUUCCUUGUGUCCAUCCCUGGGUUGGUGGCCCUGCCCUGGCUCUGUGUGUCCAUCCCAGGGUCGGUGGCCCUGCUGUGGCCAUUCCAUGUGUCCAUCCCCGGGUCGGUGGCCCUGCUGUGGCCAUUCCAUGUGUCCAUCCCCGGGUCGGUGGCCCUGCUGUGGCCAUUCCAUGUGUCCAUCCCCGGGUCGGUGGCCCUGCUGUGGCCAUUCCAUGUGUCCAUCCCCGGGUCGGUGGCCCUGCUGUGGCCAUUCCAUGUGUCCAUCCCCGGGUCGGUGGCCCUGCUGUGGCCAUUCCUUGUGUCCAUCCCAGGUCAGUGGCCCUGCCCUGGCUCUGUGUGGCCCUGCCAUGCCCCCGUGCCCGUCCCCAGUGCCACAGGAGCUGCCAUCUCGUGCUGCACCAUUCGUACCGGUGACAAUUGUGCAUCACCCCGUCGGCUUCCCGAGUGCUUUUCUGUUCACACUUUUCUAUGGAGCCUUCAAACCCCACGUUUUUCACCACCAGGCUGUUUUGAUAGUUGUUCUCAGCCCCUCCAUGGCCAUCCUUCCCCAGCAUUCCCUACUUUUGGGGGCCUUCUAUCUUGUUAAAAAAACAAAAAAACAAAAAAUCUUUUUACCGAGUGAAACAUCGACUCCACCUUUAUCCCCAUUCUCACUGGUGUAAAUACUGAUACUAACUGAGGAUUUUGACUUUGCAUUCUGUCAGAAUACUGUGUUCAAAUAAAAACUAAAAAAAAAAAAAAAAAAAAAAAAAAAAAAAAAAAAAAAAAAAAAAAAAAAAAAAAAGCUGAUGCCUGCAGUCUGCCCUUCUUUAGCUGCUCUCAUCCCAACUGAGUGGCACUAAAAGCCCUUUCAUGUUUCUUUCUUUGUCCCUCUAUAUUUAUUUACUUAUUUCCUGGAGAUAGAAAGCACAAAAAUGCAGUUUCACAGCUACUGUGAAACUUUCCCCCCCCCUAAAAAAGGCACUUUUUUGUUGCCUGUGUGUGGGAAGUGGGGCUGGAGUGUUGGGUUUGAGAGGUGACCUCUGCCCAGCCUGAACUGAG
ensembl:lncRNA